GGGGAAUUUUGGACAAUGGGCGAAAGCCUGAUCCAGCAAUGCCGCGUGUGUGAAGAAGGCCUUCGGGUUGUAAAGCACUUUUGUCCGGAAAGAAAUCCUCUGGGUUAAUACCUCGGGGGGAUGACGGUACCGGAAGAAUAAGCACCGGCUAACUACGUGCCAGCAGCCGCGGUAAUACGUAGGGUGCAAGCGUUAAUCGGAAUUACUGGGCGUAAAGCGUGCGCAGGCGGUUUUGUAAGACGGAUGUGAAAUCCCCGGGCUUAACCUGGGAACUGCAUUCGUGACUGCAAGGCUAGAGUAUGGCAGAGGGGGGUAGAAUUCCACGUGUAGCAGUGAAAUGCGUAGAGAUGUGGAGGAAUACCGAUGGCGAAGGCAGCCCCCUGGGCCAAUACUGACGCUCAUGCACGAAAGCGUGGGGAGCAAAC
rnacentral:rRNA from 1 species